CAAACAGUUUUGUGCAGAGGCUUGGUUUAUUUCAUAAGCUGCUUUCCUCCUGAGACAGUUAUGUAGCAAAGAGAAUGUCUAAAUGAAAAGUAGCUUGGAUUUGAAGCGGAUAUGCUGGGGUGAGGACACAAAACCAAAUGGAGUAGCUUGGAAUAAAUUUGCAGAUUCAUGUGUAGAAUCUAACUAAGCUAUUCUAUUCCUGUAGAAAGUGCAUAUUUUCCACCCCAUAGCUUAAGGGACUGCAUGAGGGAAGUUUUCCAUUACUUGUAUCACACAAAUUAUACUGGGCCAGAUUUGUUGUUUUUCUUAGUGGGUAUAGAAGGUUUUUGUCUAUGGGUAGUGUACUGACUAGAGAUACAGAAGACCUGCAUUUAGAGACUUGUAGAAGUGAAAUGGUCCUGGGGCACAUCCAUUCAUGUACUUACAACAGCUCCAUUUACCUGAAAGUAAGAUGGUUGUAAUCAGUGAACAGACGCUUGUGUGAUGUGAAAGUUAGGGGAAAGCUGGGUGUUAUUGUACAGUCAUUUAAAUUAUUAGUAGUCAAAAAGCUUUUCUUUUGAUGGGUAUCAUUUGGUUAAACAGAUUACAAACAAAUGGAGAAUGUGCUCCCAACAGUAGAGUAGAUAACUGCUGAUUGUGCAGUCAUUCAGGAUGUAUAAUCCAGUGUAUAACACAUUGCAUAGUUGUUCCUUGGUUAUGUAUUUCUUGUGGACAUGGCAAGCACAGUCUUGAAAAAUAGCAUAGAGAUAUUAAACCAACUAAUCAGCUGGGUUAUUCUUCCUUUAGAAGAUUCUUUUUGAAACUUACUAUUUCAGUGACCUACUUAAAAUUCUGUACAGCAAAGAAACUAUUCCAAAUCCAAGAGCUCAGGUGAAAGCGUUACAUCACCCCUCCCCAAGAAACUACAUUUCUUGAGCAAACACCCACUGAAUUAUUUUAAUUAAAGGUUUUAGGGUAGGAGUCAGUCUUCUGGGAGACUUAGUGUUGUGUAAGCAACACUGUGUAAGCAGAACAAUUAUGAGAAAUUUAAAGUAACAAAAAACUGGAGAGAAGUGACCAUGUUCCUGCAGAGAGGAGCUCAGAGCCAUUGAAAUCUUCUUCCCCCCCCAACAUGUAGUUCCUUGGCACAACUGACUCUGUCUGAACACCUGGUACUGACUUCUGUUGGCA